UACAGAGGUCUCAAGCGUUGUUCGGAUUCAUUGGGCGUAAAGGGUGCGUAGGUGGCGCGUUAAGUCAGGUGUGAAAUUUCGGAGCUUAACUCCGAAACUGCAUUUGAUACUGGCGUGCUUGAGGACUGGAGAGGAGACUGGAAUUCAUGGUGUAGCAGUGAAAUGCGUAGAUAUCGUAAGGAAGACCAGUGGCGAAGGCGGGUCUCUGGACAGUUCCUGACGCUGGAGGCACGAAGGCCAGGGGAGCAAACGGG
rnacentral:rRNA from 1 species